UAGAAGCAUUCCAUAGUGUUCUUCAUAAAAGUCUGGUCCUUAUGAAUAAUAUGAAAGAGUUGUAUGUAGAAUGUUGAUUAACCAACUAUCCAGCUCCAUGUUCUGGGAUGGGAAUGCCUUUGAUAAGAUCUUGACCAACCUCAUGAUAAAUGAGAUAAUCUAGGGCCUUUACUGCCAUUUUAAAAAAGACUUUUGUUGGAUAGACCCCAAGUGUUCCAUAUCCUAUGAUUCACACUUGUUGAUAGGCAGGAAGACUGAGGCUUUGUAGAGUGUCUCUAAAGCAUAGAGGAAAAAUUUCCUGAAUUCCAUGGCCUUGAUCAUGCCUAUAUUUGAGGGUCAUUCGAUUAUGUCAUAAUAUUUCCCAAAAAUAAAUCUCAAUGAAGAGGGUGUUGAAAUCAAGGAAACAUUUGAGGGUAUUCCAUAACUUUUUCCCCUUCAAGAAAUAUCAUUGACAACAUGCACUCAUUUUCCUCCUCUGCAUCAAUCAUGUGAAAAUCCCCACAAACUAACAAAUGGAUUUCCAAUGAUUUGUCAAUAAUCCAUUUCUAUAAAAGGGCACAUUCAUCAUUAGACACAUAGAAGUUGGAUAAAACCAACAACCUUCCAUCCAGAGUCAACAAAAUUGAAACCCAUUUUUUAGAGUUGUUGGUGCCUCAUCCUAUAACUGACGACAACAUUAGGAAAUAUGGAGACGUCGUUGGGGGCCCCGAGAAGAGUUAUAUCUAUAUUUUUAACAGCUUUCCCACCCUGAAAUUGGCUCAACUAGAGAUAGGGUCUAACAGGUGGAAGAGAAUCGCAUGUCUUGCAAUGUCUGGUGCGCCCUCGACGACCCUUGAAAAUAUGGAGGACCGAGUACCGUCCAUGCCCGAUUGUACUCAUAAUCGCAUCAGGUCUCCAAGGUGAACAAACUCUGGUCAAUAGAAAAAUGUAGGUAAGGGACAUCGGAAAAACGGAUCCGUAACUUCGGGAAAAGGAUUGGCUCUAAGAGCCGGGCCUAGGGGUCUAUGUCCUCAACCCGUGGGUUGUCAGCAGUCUGCCUGAGCCGCUAUCAUGGAGAGGGCGGGUAGUCAUGUGUCGAUUGGGCUACAAAUGUAGGAUGCCCCCUUGCAGGGUAUUUUCCCUAGGUGGCAAAUGGAUGGUGGAAAUUCCCACAGGGAGAAACACCAAUUUUCGUGGACCGUUGGAUCUAGUAGAUAUGCGGGGAGAAUAAGGGAGAGAGUUUUUCAACACUUGUAAGCUCAGGAGGAAUAGUAGCCAUUAGAUCUGAAGGAGCAAGAGCCAUUGAUUUAGCGCUCUGAAAUAUCAACAUUUCGGGAGUCGAGAGUGUGGAGGAAGUUGCAAUUUAGAAUUCGUGAGUUGCGAAAUCCCAGUUCACAAAGGAAGAACCUAGAGCGUCGGAUUAGGGAGAUGAGGGCUGUCGAUAUGGCAUAGCAAUCAUCGCGAGUUUGUAUUUCAGGAAAAGGGAAGAGAACCACUUCACAAACCCCCUAUACAUGAAAUCCCGACGUGCUCAGAGGUUGGGCCCUAGGUCGCAGCUGGAGGUCAACCGGAGCAAACUUACAAAAUUGGGGAAGACUUGAAAAUUUGGAAGUGAGCUUGUUCUUCUUUGAAAUCGAUGAUUUUAUACUCUCUC
rfam:Picea glauca, whole genome shotgun sequence.